GAGGGUAUAGCUCAGUGGUAGAGCAUGUGCUUAGCAUGAAAAAGGCCCUGGGUUCAAUCCCAGUACCUCCA
rfam:Camelus ferus isolate Naran unplaced genomic scaffold scaffold70132, whole genome shotgun sequence.